UGACGGCCAUAUCACGUUUGACAACCUGUUCCUGUACGAUCACCGACGUUAAGCAACAUCAAGCCUGGCCAAUACCUAAAUGUGUGACCGCUUGGGAGUAACGGGUGCUGUAAG